AUACGUAGGUGACAAGCGUUAUCCGGAUUUACUGGGCGUAAAGGGCGUGUAGGCGGUCUUGCAAGUCAGAAGUGAAAUUCCUGAGCUCAACUCGGGCGCUGCUUCUGAAACUGCAGGACUUGAGUGCUGGAGGGGAUAGCGGAAUUCCUAGUGGAGCGGUAAAAUGCGCAGAUAUUAGGAAGAACACCGGUGGCGAAGGCGGCUAUCUGGACAGUAACUGACGCUGAGGCGCGAAAGCGUGGGGAGCAAACAGGAUUGGAUACCCUGGUAGUCCACGCCAUAAACGAUGAAUACUAGGUGUAGGGGGUAUCGACCCCCUCUGUGCCGACGUUAACACAUUAAGUAUUCCACCUGGGGAGUACGGCCGCAAGGCUGAAACUCAAAUGAAUUGACGGGG
rnacentral:rRNA from 1 species